AAGUACUUGCGAAGACCCUUGUAUUUUGAGGUAGAGAUCCUGUACAGCAGGGAUCCACAGGCUGAAUUGUUUUUGGAGAACUGCUGGGCAACCUAUUCUGCUGACCGGAAUAGCUCUCCAAAGUGGGAUGUUGUUGUGGACAGUUGUGAGAACUCUGCAGAUGAGUACUUGACCAUCUUUCACCCAGUCUCCAGCAAUGCAAGAGUGCUGUUCCCUUCCCAUCUGAAGAGGUUUGAAGUGAAAAUGUUUUCCUUCAAGCGGUCGGGAUGCACUGAAAGGACAGAUUUACUUCCACUGCAGUGUUGUGAUAUGUGAUUCAAACCGGCCAUCAGACAGCCUCUGUAGCAGACGGUGCAUUCCAGGGAAACAGAGGCUUGGUCGCAGUGCUGAAGGGAUGGAUGGUGGUGCAUUAAAGGUGUUUGUGUCUUCUGGCCCAAUUGAGCUGAAGAGAGAUGGGUCCCUUCACUUUAUGCCUAGAAGUGGCCAAUUCAAUGUGUGGUCCCUUCUGGGAGCUGCAAUGGGUGUGUGUUCAGUGGUUAUCUUCGUAGCUGGAGUUGUAUCUUUCUGGAA